rnacentral:rRNA from 1 species
ACGGACUUCGGUCUGGUGGCGAGUGGCGAACGGGUGAGUAAUGCAUCGGAACGAGCCAUUGAGUGGGGGAUAACGUAGCGAAAGUUGCGCUAAUACCGCAUAUUCUGUGAGCAGGAAAGCAGGGGACCGCAAGGCCUUGCGCUCUUUGAGCGGCCGAUGUCAGAUUAGCUAGUUGGUGAGGUAAAGGCUUACCAAGGCGACGAUCUGUAGCGGGUCUGAGAGGAUGAUCCGCCACACUGGAACUGAGACACGGUCCAGACUCCUACGGGAGGCAGCAGUGGGGAAUUUUGGACAAUGGGGGCAACCCUGAUCCAGCCAUGCCGCGUGAGUGAAGAAGGCCUUCGGGUUGUAAAGCUCUUUCGGCCGGGAAGAAAUCGCAUGGGCCAAUACCCUGUGUGGAUGACGGUACCGGAAUAAGAAGCACCGGCUAACUACGUGCCAGCAGCCGCGGUAAUACGUAGGGUGCGAGCGUUAAUCGGAAUUACUGGGCGUAAAGCGUGCGCAGGCGGUUUUGUAAGACAGGCGUGAAAUCCCCGGGCUUAACCUGGGAACUGCGUUUGUGACUGCAAGGCUAGAGUACGGCAGAGGGGGGUGGAAUUCCACGUGUAGCAGUGAAAUGCGUAGAGAUGUGGAGGAACACCAAUGGCGAAGGCAGCCCCCUGGGUCGAUACUGACGCUCAUGCACGAAAGCGUGGGUAGCAAACAGGAUUAGAUACCCUGGUAGUCCACGCCCUAAACUAUGUCAACUAGGUGUUGGGUGGGUAAAACCAUUUAGUACCGUAGCUAACGCGUGAAGUUGACCGCCUGGGGAGUACGGCCGCAAGGUUAAAACUCAAAGGAAUUGAC